rnacentral:rRNA from 1 species
CCUACGGGCGGCAGCAGUGAGGAAUAUUGGUCAAUGGACGAGAGUCUGAACCAGCCAAGUAGCGUGAAGGAUGACUGCCCUAUGGGUUGUAAACUUCUUUUAUAAAGGAAUAAAACGAGGCACGUGUGCCUUUUUGCAUGUACUUUAUGAAUAAGGAUCGGCUAACUCCGUGCCUGCAGCCGCGGUAAUACGGAGGAUCCGAGCGUUAUCCGGAUUUAUUGGGUUUAAAGGGAGCGUAGAUGGGUUGUUAAGUCAGUUGUGAAAGUUUGCGGCUCAACCGUGAAAUUGCAAUUGAUACUGGCAGUCUUGAGUACAGUUGAGGUAGGCGGAAUGCGUGGUGUAGCGGUGAAAUGCUUAGAUAUCACGAAGAACCCCGAUUGCGAAGGCAGCUUACUAAACUGUGACUGACAUUGAUGCUCGAAAGUGUGGGGAUCAAACAGGAUUAGAUACCCGAGUAGUC